GCUGUCAGUUGCAGCCCUGCAGGAUAAUUAAAAGAGAAACCUGUAAAGGCAACAUUCCUUUAAGCAAGUUGGUGCUGCAACGUGCUGACUUUCUACAUAUGAUUCUGACAGGUAUUAAAUGCUACAACACCUACUAAAAUCAAGAGGAAGUCUGAGCUUGUCCUGUAUUUAAGAGGAAAUUGAUGAAUACUCCCAGGACUGAAUCUUACGAUUGCUGAAAUCUCUUUUUCUAAUUGCAAUUGCCGUUACACUUAAGAAGUGAUCCUGCAGGUUUUUACUGAAAUAUUUAGAGUAAACUACGUAAAUAAACACUACUCUUACAGUUAAAUAUUUAGAGGU
rnacentral:lncRNA from 1 species